rnacentral:rRNA from 1 species
GGUUAUGGCCAUGCCACUCUGAAUGUGCUCAAUCUCGUCUGAUCUUAGAAGCUAAGCAGGAUCGGGCCUUGUUAGUUCUUGGAUGGGAGACCACCUAGGAAGACCAGGUGCUGUGUUUA